rnacentral:pre_miRNA from 1 species
CAUGCACCAGUGGGGUCCCUCAGCCUGGCCAGUGCCCUCUCACAAUCUGGGACCCCUCAUGGGAUGUCAGAGAGCCAGUUUCAGCCUGAUUCCACAGGCCAGGCUGAGGGACCCCACUGGUGCACA